GAUGAACGCUGGCGGCGUGCUUAACACAUGCAAGUCGAACGGACAAGGUGAAACUUAGUGAUCCUUGUUAGUGGCGGACGGGUGAGUAACGCGUGGGCAACCUGCCUCAUACAGGGGGAUAACAGUUAGAAAUAGCUGCUAAUACCGCAUAAGCGCACAGUACCGCAUGGUACGGUGUGAAAAGCUCCGGUGGUAUGAGAUGGACCCGCGUCUGAUUAGCUAGUUGGUGGGGUAAAGGCCUACCAACGGCGACGAUCAGUAGCCGGCCUGAGAGGGUGACCGGCCACAUUGGGACUGAGACACGGCCCAAACUCCUACGGGAGGCAGCAGUGGGGAAUAUUGCACAAUGGGGGGAAACCCUGAUGCAGCAACGCCGCGUGAGUGAAGAAGUAUUUCGGAUCGUAAACUUCUAAUCAACAGGGAAGAAU
rnacentral:rRNA from 1 species